AAAUGAUUUAAAUUCAGCAAACUCACGGGAUAAACUCGCUAUGGUUUUAUAUGGGAGAUCUGUGGUAGCUGCAUUCUUCAAAUCUUCG